rnacentral:rRNA from 1 species
CACGUAGUUAGCCGUGGCUUUCUCAUAAGGUACCGUCAAUUGAUAGCCAUUUCCUCCUAUCACCUUUCUUCCCUUAUAACAGAAUUUUACAACCCGAAGGCCUUCUUCAUUCACGCGGCGUUGCUCGGUCAGGCUUUCGCCCAUUGCCGAAGAUUCCCUACUGCUGCCUCCCGUAGGAGUCUGGGCCGUGUCUCAGUCCCAGUGUGGCCGUUCACCCUCUCAGGUCGGCUACGCAUCGUCGCCUUGGUAGGCCUUUACCCCACCAACUAGCUAAUGCGCCGCAGGCUCAUCCAUCAGUGAUGCCAGGAGCAUCUUUAAACUUUCGUCCUAUCCGGUAUUAGCGAUCGUUUCCAAUCGUUGUCCCCGUCUGAUGGGCAGAUCACCUACGUGUUACUCACCCGUUCGCCGCUUCCCACCGAAGUGGUUCGCUCGACUUGCAUGUAUUAGGCACGCCGCCAGCGUUCAUCCUGAGCCAGGAUCAAACUCU